AUUGAACGCUGGCGGCAGGCUUAACACAUGCAAGUCGAGCGGAGUGAUGGUGCUUGCACUAUCACUUAGCGGCGGACGGGUGAGUAAUGCUUAGGAAUCUGCCUAUUAGUGGGGGACAACAUCUCGAAAGGGAUGCUAAUACCGCAUACGUCCUACGGGAGAAAGCAGGGGAUCACUUGUGACCUUGCGCUAAUAGAUGAGCCUAAGUCGGAUUAGCUAGUUGGUGGGGUAAAGGCCUACCAAGGCGACGAUCUGUAGCGGGUCUGAGAGGAUGAUCCGCCACGCUGGGACCGGGACACGGCCCAGACUCCUACGGGAGGCAGCAGUGGGGAAUAUUGGACAAUGGGGGGAACCCUGAUCCAGCCAUGCCGCGUGUGUGAAGAAGGCCUUAUGGUUGUAAAGCACUUUAAGCGAGGAGGAGGCUCUUUUGGUUAAUACCCAAGAUGAGUGGACGUUACUCGCAGAAUAAGCACCGGCUAACUCUAUGCCAGCCGCCGCCGUAACAC
rnacentral:rRNA from 1 species